UACUAAAAACAUUGUUUUUGUGGCGCUUAAAUCCUGAAGCUUCAUAUUUUUUCAUACUCCCUAGAAAUAAAACAACUUUAAGCUUCUCUUUUUUAUCUACCGGUGUGUCAGCAAAAAGAUCGUAGGUAGAUAUGGCUUCUAUUACUGCAAGCUUGCCUCCACCAUUAUUGAUGCCUGGAAGAAAAACCCUUCAAAAGGUCGCGCCUUCACCGAUUAGAGG